rnacentral:rRNA from 1 species
UACAGAGGUCUCAAGCGUUGUUCGGAUUCAUUGGGCGUAAAGGGCGCGUAGGCGGCUUUAUAAGUCGGGGGUGAAAGCCUGUGGCUCAACCACAGAAUUGCCUUCGAUACUGUAUGGCUUGAGACCGGAAGAGGUAAGUGGAACUGCGAGUGUAGAGGUGAAAUUCGUAGAUAUUCGCAAGAACACCAGUGGCGAAGGCGGCUUACUGGUCCGGUUCUGACGCUGAGGCGCGAAAGCGUGGGGAGCAAACAGG